rfam:Schistosoma haematobium scaffold3453_7, whole genome shotgun sequence.
AGCCUCCUAAAUUUGUGCCGAAAUUUCGUCAGACGCGAUACCGUCAGUACUGAUGAGUCUCCCAAUAUAAGUGGAGCG